AACGAUGGAUGCUAGUCGUUGGAGUGCUAGUCACUUCAGUGAUGCAGCUAACGCAUUAAGCAUCCCGCCUGGGGAGUACGGUCGCAAGAUUAAAACUCAAAGGAAUAGACGGGGACCCGCACAAGUGGUGGAGCAUGUGGUUUAAUUCGAAGAUACGCGAAGAACCUUACCUGGCCUUGACAUCCCGCGAACCCUGCAGAGAUGCGGGGGUGCCCCUUUUUGGGGAGCGCGGUGACAGGUGCUGCACGGCUGUCGUCAGCUCGUGUCGUGAGAUGUUGGGUUAAGUCCCGCAACGAGCGCAACCCUCGUGUUUAGUUGCUAACAGUUCGGCUGAGCACUCUAAACAGACUGCCUGGGUAACCAGGAGGAAGGUGAGGACGACGUCAAGUCAUCAUGGUCCUUACGGCCAGGGCGACACACGUGCUACAAUGGGUAGGACAAUGAGACGCGAUACCGCGAGGUGGAGCAAAUCUAAUAAACCUAAUCUCAGUUCGGAUUGUAGUCUGCAACUCGACUACAUGAAGCUGGAAUCACUAGUAAUCGUAGAUCAGCUAUGCUACGGUGAAUACGUUCCCGGGUCUUGUACUCACCGCCCGUCACACCAUGGGAGUUGAUUUCACCCGAAGCGGGGAAGCUAAAUUGGCUACCCUCCACGGUGGAAUUAGCGACUGGGGUGAAGUCGUAACAAGGUA
rnacentral:rRNA from 1 species